GGGAGAAAGGAGCAGGGCUCAGAGUCUGGUACUGUGGUGGUAUGGAGGUGAUGGUAGGGAAGUCACCCAAGGACCGAGUAUGCGAAUGCUACAGUGGUAGGAGCACUCACUAGCAGUUCAAGGGGCUUAAGUGGAGAACAACAGUAUGUAGGAUACUGAAUAUGAAAGUGAGGAAAGGAAGACGGAGAGGAGCUGACUACCUACUGGCAAUGCUGAUUUAUUAGACACCAUGGGCUGUCACAGCCAAGCAGGAGAAGAAAGGAAGGAAUUAAACGCUGCAUACAGGAGAGCCAAGCACCAGGGAGCCGAGUGCUACCUCAGCAUCCCGAAGAGAAUUCAGCUGAGAGCAGGACUGGCAGCAGUCCCUCCUGCCUGGCCUCCGGAGAUGGAGCAGCAGAGGUGGCCUCUCAUUGUGCAUCCUUUCAGUGCUCUACAGCACACACUUUCAUCUGUUCCUCUGAGUUUCUGUCUGUAGACCUGGCUCCUGCAGCACAUUUCUGUUUGAAUAAUUCUGGUACUUAUAUAUAAUAAAAGAUUAUUUUUUU